rnacentral:snoRNA from 1 species
CAUCUCAUGAUGAGGACGGGUGGUGACGUAUUCCUGCAGCCUUUCCCAAGCUUUAAGAAUGGUUUCAUCCCUCAUCAGCUGCAAACUGGGUAUUCUUCGACGAGGAG